rnacentral:tRNA from 1 species
UCCCUGGUAGUCCAUUGGUUAGGACUCUACUCUUUCAUUGUAGAAGGCAAGGGUUCGAUCCCUGGUUGGGGAA